rnacentral:rRNA from 1 species
UUGAAAAAUUACGCGUGCUAUACAUGCAGUCGAACGAACUCUGGUAUUGAUUGGUGCUUGCAUCAUGAUUUACAUUUGAGUGAGUGGCGAACUGGUGAGUAACACGUGGGAAACCUGCCCAGAAGCGGGGGAUAACACCUGGAAACAGAUGCUAAUACCGCAUAACAACUUGGACCGCAUGGUCCGAGUUUGAAAGAUGGCUUCGGCUAUCACUUUUGGAUGGUCCCGCGGCGUAUUAGCUAGAUGGUGGGGUAACGGCUCACCAUGGCAAUGAUACGUAGCCGACCUGAGAGGGUAAUCGGCCACAUUGGGACUGAGACACGGCCCAAACUCCUACGGGAGGCAGCAGUAGGGAAUCUUCCACAAUGGACGAAAGUCUGAUGGAGCAACGCCGCGUGAGUGAAGAAGGGUUUCGGCUCGUAAAACUCUGUUGUUAAAGAAGAACAUAUCUGAGAGUAACUGUUCAGGUAUUGACGGUAUUUAACCAGAAAGCCACGGCUAACUACGUGCCAGCAGCCGCGGUAAUACGUAGGUGGCAAGCGUUGUCCGGAUUUAUUGGGCGUAAAGCGAGCGCAGGCGGUUUUUUAAGUCUGAUGUGAAAGCCUUCGGCUCAACCGAAGAAGUGCAUCGGAAACUGGGAAACUUGAGUGCAGAAGAGGACAGUGGAACUCCAUGUGUAGCGGUGAAAUGCGUAGAUAUAUGGAAGAACACCAGUGGCGAAGGCGGCUGUCUGGUCUGUAACUGACGCUGAGGCUCGAAAGUAUGGUUAGCAAACAGGAUUAGAUACCCUGUAGUCCAUACCGUAAACGAUGAAUGCUAAGUGUUGGAGGGUUUCCGCCUUUCAGUGCUGCAGCUAACGCAUUAAGCAUUUCCGCCUGGGAGUACGGCCGCAAGCUGAACUCAAAGGAAUUGACGGGGCCCGCACAAGCGCUGGGAGCAUGUGUUUAAUUUCGAACUACGCGAAGAACCUUACCAGGUCUUGACUACUAAUGCAAUCUAAGGAGAUUACACGUUCCUUCGGGAACUUGAUACAGUGUGGAUGGUUGUCUCAGUUCUGUCGGGAAUGUUGUUUAGUCCCGCACGAGCGUACCCUUAUUUUCCGUGGCCAGAUUAAUUGGACAUCUCUGGUGGAACUGCCCGUGACAACGGAGAAAGGGGGAUGAACGCAAUCAUCUCUGCCCUUUAUAUGAC